rnacentral:rRNA from 1 species
GAGCGGCGAACGGGUGAGUAACACGUGAGGAACCUGCCCUGGACUUUGGGAUAACCCUCGGAAACGGGGGCUAAUACCGAAUACGACACUUCACCGCAUGGUGUGGGUGUGGAAAGUUUUUCGGUCUGGGAUGGUCUCGCGGCCUAUCAGCUUGUUGGUGGGGUAAUGGCCUACCAAGGCGACGACGGGUAGCCGGCCUGAGAGGGCGACCGGCCACACUGGGACUGAGACACGGCCCAGACUCCUACGGGAGGCAGCAGUGGGGAAUAUUGCACAAUGGGCGGAAGCCUGAUGCAGCGACGCCGCGUGAGGGAUGACGGCCUUCGGGUUGUAAACCUCUUUCAGCAGGGACGAAGCGCAAGUGACGGUACCUGCAGAAGAAGCGCCGGCCAACUACGUGCCAGCAGCCGCGGUAAGACGUAGGGCGCGAGCGUUGUCCGGAUUUAUUGGGCGUAAAGAGCUCGUAGGCGGCUUGUCGCGUCGACUGUGAAAACCCGCGGCUCAACUGCGGGCCUGCAGCCGAUACGGGCAGGCUAGAGUUCGGUAGGGGAGACUGGAAUUCCU